rnacentral:rRNA from 1 species
GUCAGAACGAACGCUGGCGGCGCGUUUAAGCAUGCAAGUCGAGCGGCAAGGGCCUUCGGGCCCCUAGAGCGGCGGACGGGUGAGUAACACGUGGAUAAUCUGCCCUCCGGCCCGGGAUAGCCCAGGGAAACCUGGAUUAAUACCGGAUGAGACGGGACCCGCGAUGGCGGGACCCGGGAAAGGCGCUGCGGCGCCGCCGGGGGAUGAGUCUGCGUCCCAUUAGCUAGACGGCGGGGUAACGGCCCACCGUGGCGACGAUGGGUAGCCGGCCUGAGAGGGUGGACGGCCACAUUGGAACUGAGACACGGUCCAGACUCCUACGGGAGGCAGCAGCUAAGAAUCUUCCGCAAUGGGCGAAAGCCUGACGGAAGCGACGCCGCGUGAACGAAGAAGGCCGUGAGGUUGUAAAGUUCUUUUCGGGAGGGGGAACAACCGUGGCAGGGAAUGGCCGCGGGAUGACGUGAAUCCCGGAAUAAGCCCCGGCUAACUACGUGCCAGCCGCCGC